rnacentral:rRNA from 1 species
AUUGAACGCUGGCGGCAGGCCUAACACAUGCAAGUCGAGCGGAUGAAGGGAGCUUGCUCCUGGAUUCAGCGGCGGACGGGUGAGUAAUGCCUAGGAAUCUGCCUGGUAGUGGGGGAUAACGUCCGGAAACGGGCGCUAAUACCGCAUACGUCCUGAGGGAGAAAGUGGGGGAUCUUCGGACCUCAGGCUAUCGGAGGACCCUAGGUCGGAUUAGCUAGUUGGUGGGGUAAAGGCCUACCAAGGCGACGAUCCGUAACUGGUCUGAGAGGAUGAUCAGUCACACUGGAACUGAGACACGGUCCAGACUCCUACGGGAGGCAGCAGUGGGGAAUAUUGGACAAUGGGCGAAAGCCUGAUCCAGCCAUGCCGCGUGUGUGAAGAAGGUCUUCGGAUUGUAAAGCACUUUAAGUUGGGAGGAAGGGCAGUAAGUUAAUACCUUGCUGUUUUGACGUUACCAACAGAAUAAGCACCGGCUAACUUCGUG